AAAAAAUUUAUACAUUUUGUUAAUUUAUCUCUUUAUCGAACUUAGGUCGUACUUGAUAAAGGCUUAACGAAUGUUAGGCCUAAGACAAGUGGACUUACAGAU